UACAGAGGGUGCGAGCGUUAAUCGGAAUUACUGGGCGUAAAGCGCGCGUAGGCGGCUUUGCAAGCCGGAUGUGAAAUCCCCGGGCUUAACCUGGGAACUGCAUUCGGGACUGCAUUGCUAGAGUAUGGGAGAGGGAAGUGGAAUUUCAGGUGUAGCGGUGAAAUGCGCAGAUAUCUGAAGGAACAUCAGUGGCGAAAGCGACUUCCUGGACCAAUACUGACGCUCAUGUGCGAAAGCGUGGGGAGCAAACAGG
rnacentral:rRNA from 1 species